rnacentral:rRNA from 1 species
UACGUAGGGGGCAAGCGUUGUCCGGAAUCAUUGGGCGUAAAGAGCGCGUAGGCGGCCCUGUAAGUCCGCUGUGAAAGUCAAGGGCUCAACCCUUGGAUGCCGGUGGAUACUGCAGGGCUAGAGUCCGGAAGAGGCGAGUGGAAUUCCUGGUGUAGCGGUGAAAUGCGCAGAUAUCGGGAGGAACACCGGUGGCGAAGGCGGCGACCUGGGUCGAGACUGACGCUGAGGCGCGAAAGCGUGGGGAGCAAACAGG